GACGAACGCUGGCGGCGUGCUUAACACAUGCAAGUCGAACGAGAAUCUACUGAAGGAGGAUUCGUCCAACGGAAGUAGAGGAAAGUGGCGAACGGGUGAGUAACGCGUGAGGAACCUGCCUUUCAGUGGGGGACAACAGUUGGAAACGACCGCUAAUACCGCAUGAUACUUUUUGGAGGCAUCUCUGGAAAGUCAAAGAUUUAUUGCUGAAAGAUGGUCUCGCGUCCGAUUAGUUAGUUGGCGGGGUAACGGCCCACCAAGACCGCGAUCGGUAGCCGACCUGAGAGGGUGACCGGCCACAUUGGGACUGAGACACGGCCCAGACUCCUACGGGAGGCAGCAGUGGGGAAUAUUGCACAAUGGAGGAGACUCUGAUGCAGCGACGCCGCGUGAGCGAAGAAGUAUUUCGGUAUGUAAAGCUCUGUCAGCAGGGAAGAUAAUGACGGUACCUGACCAAGAAGCCCCGGCUAACUACGUG
rnacentral:rRNA from 1 species